rnacentral:lncRNA from 1 species
CAUCAACGACUUCUUCUACACUUAGAAUGAAACUCAGACUUUCUUCCAUAAGCCUCCUCAGGCCCUUCAGAAUCCAGUGGAGAGUGUAUCUUGAGCAUCAUUUUUGAGAUUAAUCAAAUGUGGGUUUUGAAAUCCAAGUCCAUCUCAGGCUCUAUGACUCUAAAUGAUGGGUAUUGUAUGCUAGAACAUUCAAUUUCCAUAAGGUGCAAUAAACAUUACAUUAUUUUGUAGAUAUUUAGAGGAUACAAUGUUACAAAUACUUAAUAGGACCAAGAUCAAAUUAAUUUUCCCCCAAAUAUUGCUCUUUUCAUUCUGACACUUGUACUUUUACUAUUCACAUAGACAACUUUAACAUGUUGAUAAAGUUUGAAUUAUUAUUCCAGAAAACUUUUGUAUGAAGUAACAUUCAACCAGACAGCAAGAAGGAAAAAGAGUUUUAUUUAUCACUAUGUAUGAUAAAUGAAA